rnacentral:rRNA from 1 species
UUGAUUAGGUCCCUGCCCUUUGUACACACCGCCCGUCGCUGCCCGGGACUGAGCCAUUUCGAGAAACUCGGGGACGAUUAUGCGUGUCGGCUUCGGUCGUCGCGUUGAUUGGAACCGAUUUAAUCGCAGUGGCUUGAACCGGGCAAAAGUCGUAACAAGGUAGCUGUAGGUGAACCUGCUGCUGGAUCAUUACCCAAGUGAUACCAAUUCACCACCUACCUGCUGUCCAGUUGAGUCAGUGUGGGCAACACCACAUGCCUCCGUUUGUUGUUGACGGACACAUGCCCGCUAUGUUUGGGCUGGCACAUUGAUCAACAAUGUAUGGACAGCGCCCUGUGGGCACAUGAGUGUUGGGGUGUAACCGAUGUUGGUGGCCCAAUGGGUGACUCGACGAUUGCUGUUGUCGUCGGGUCGCUGCACCAACGGAGGUGGCACGCCCACAGGGCACCCUAACGGCUGUGCUGGCGUCUGUGCGUCGUUGAGCGGUUGUUGCGCCUUGCGCGGAUAUGCUGACAUGGAGUGUAGGCUACUAUUCCAUGUCGUACGUGCCGUACCCAGCGGCAUGUCUGCGCUUGUGUGCUACGUCCGUGGCCGUGAUGAGACGACGUGUUAGGACCCGUGCCUGGCAUUGGCACGCGGUUUAAGACUUGAUGAGUGCCUGCAGGCACCGCCAGCUUUUUCUCAUUUUUAUAAAUUUUUUAAUGCAAUUUUAUUGCUAAAAUAUUCUAGUCUUAUCGGUGGAUCACUCGGCUCGUGGAUCGAUGAAGAACGCAGCCAACUGCGAUAAUUAGUGUGAACUGCAGAAACCUUGAACACAGAACUUUCGAAUGCACAUUGCGCCAUUGGAGUGACAUCCAUUGGCACGCCUGGUUCAGGGUCGUAACCAAAAAAUGCACUGCAUGUGCGUGUUUUAUUUGCUAAGAUCACGCUUCGGCGUGUUCUUGCAUACCAUUGAAUGCUACGCUGUGUAGUGUUGGACGUGCUGGCGCGAAAAUGUGUUGUCUUUCGCGCUUUACAGACCGUAAUUUAGGCACGCCCUUCGUUCACAUGCGAUAGCUGAAUGCCUCGCCAAUAGGCAUUCGCAAUUGAACAUUUCGACCUGAACUCAGACGUGAACACCCGCUGAACUUAAGCAUAUCAGUAAGCGGAGGAAAAGAAACUAACGAGGAUUCCCGUAGUAACGGCGA